GACACUGAGGAGCGAAAGCGUGGGGAGCGAACAGGAUUAGAUACCCUGGUAGUCCACGCCGUAAACGGUGGGCGCUAGUUGUGGGAACCUUCCACGGUUUCUGCGACGCAGCUAACGCAUUAAGCGCCCCGCCUGGGGAGUACGAUCGCAAGAUUAAAACUCAAAGGAAUUGACGGGGCCCCGCACAAGCAGCGGAGCAUGCGGCUUAAUUCGACGCAACGCGAAGAACCUUACCAAGGCUUGACAUAUACAGGAAUAUGGCAGAGAUGUCAUAGCGGUAAAACGUCUGUAUACAGGUGGUGCAUGGUUGUCGUCAGCUCGUGUCGUGAGAUGUUGGGUUAAGUCCCGCAACGAGCGCAACCCUCGUUCUGUGUUGCCAGCAUUUAGUUGGGGACUCACAGGAGACUGCCGGGGUUAACUCGGAGGAAGGUGGGGAUGACGUCAAAUCAUCAUGCCCCUUAUGUCUUGGGCUGCACGCAUGCUACAAUGGCUGGUACAAAGGGCUGCAAUACUGCAAAGUGGAGCGAAUCCCAAAAAGCCAGUCUCAGUUCGGAUUGGGGUCUGCAACUCGACCCCAUGAAGUCGGAGUUGCUAGUAAUCGUAGAUCAGCAACGCUACGGUGAAUGCGUUCCCGGGGCUUGUACACACCGCCCGUCACAUCACGAAAGUCGGUAACACC
rnacentral:rRNA from 1 species